UACGGAGGGUGCAAGCGUUAUCCGGAUUUACUGGGUUUAAAGGGUGCGUAGGCGGUCCCUUAAGUCUGGUGUGAAAGGUUCAGGGCUCAACCCGAAGAGUGCACUGGAUACUGGGGGACUUGAGUUUGGGAGAGGAGAGUGGAAUUCCUGGUGUAGCGGUGAAAUGCGUAGAUAUCAGGAGGAACACCGAUGGCGAAGGCAGCUCUCUGGCCCAAAACUGACGCUGAGGUGCGAAAGCGUGGGGAGCGAACGGG
rnacentral:rRNA from 1 species